ACUAGGCCAUGCUGCUUCCAAAGGACUGCCGUGAUGUCUGCAUGGAAAGCCUUUAUUGAGACUCCGCCGCUCUCCUUCCUGGCAGACAGACUGGCCUACUCGUCCAACUAGGCAAGAAAGUUCUGUUUUGACAAGCAGACGCAUUCCUUUUCAGAAGCCGCACGGAGGCAAGUCCUCUGUUGCAGACAGACAUCCUCCGUCCGGCCCAGCGGCGAAAACCCUUUCACAAGCCACAGAAGGCGAGUGGCAGUCAGACUUACCAAUAGAGCUCCAGAGGGUACAUGACUUCUAUUAUGCGGCUCCUGCCUUCAGAAUGGACUUUCCCUUUGGGACCCAAACUGUGGAAGGGUUGUCUGUCCAGGGCCUAAACUGGCACAGAAUAGAGGCACUGGCAAGAGGCAUGA